UACGGAGGGUGCAAGCGUUGUUCGGAAUUAUUGGGCGUAAAGCGCGCGCAGGCGGCUGGGUAAGUCCUGGGGUGAAAUGCCGGAGCUCAACUCCGUGCCCGCCCCGGAUACUGUCCGGCUGGAGACACGUAGAGGCAAGCGGAAUUUCGGGUGUAGCGGUGGAAUGCGUAGAGAUCCGAAAGAACACCGGAGGCGAAGGCGGCUUGCUGGGCGUGAUCUGACGCUGAGGCGCGAAAGCGUGGGGAGCGAACAGG
rnacentral:rRNA from 1 species